UAGGGAAUCUUCGGCAAUGGACGAAAGUCUGACCGAGCAACGCCGCGUGAGUGAAGAAGGUUUUCGGAUCGUAAAACUCUGUUGUUAGAGAAGAACAAGGACGUUAGUAACUGAACGUCCCCUGACGGUAUCUAACCAGAAAGCCACGGCUAACUACGUGCCAGCAGCCGCGGUAAUACGUAGGUGGCAAGCGUUGUCCGGAUUUAUUGGGCGUAAAGCGAGCGCAGGCGGUUUCUUAAGUCUGAUGUGAAAGCCCCCGGCUCAACCGGGGAGGGUCAUUGGAAACUGGGUGACUUGAGUGCAGAAGAGGAGAGUGGAAUUCCAUGUGUGGCGGUGAAAUGCGUAGAUAUAUGGAGGAACACCAGUGGCGAAGGCGGCUCUCUGGUCUGUUACUGACGCAGAGGCUCGAAAGCGGGGGGAGCAAACAGG
rnacentral:rRNA from 1 species